rnacentral:lncRNA from 1 species
AAGCCUCUUCCAGUCAUCCAGUACCAUCUUACUUGGAGGCAGCAAAUCAAGAGGAUUCUUUGGUUUGGGCUUUGGUGCCUCCUCCUCCUCAGCUGCCUCUGCCUUUGCUGCCUGUUUCUCAACCUCCUUUUUGGCUUCUUUCUUUGGUUCAGCCUUUGGUUUAGUUUCUUUUGGCUGGGCAGCAGGCUUCUUUGAAGGAACAGGUGGUAGAGAGACUGCCUGCUUCACUUCACCAAGAAUCUUCUUGAUUUUUGGCUGAUUAACCAAGGUCCAAAAGUACCUCUCAACAUGAGGGAACUCCGAGGUAAAACUCUUAGUCAUGAUCUGGGAGAAACCCAAGUAGAGGUUACAUGUCAUGAUAAUGUCAGCAAGGGUGACAAAAUGUCCAACAAGAAAUGUGUUGGAAGCAAGAUGAGUGUUCAAAGCGCCAAGGGCUCUCUUCAAUGCAGCAAUAGCAGCUUCCUCAGCCUACAUGCAAAAUACAUAUAAGAGAUUAAAAUGAAAUAGGUAGGCAAAAUCAUACCAUUGAAUUAAAAUGAACUACUACUGAAUUACAAAAAUAAAAUUUAACUCUUAAUAUAGAUUAAUAAAUACAUCAGAAUGGGGGAGAAAACAACCUAGUCUCUUAAAAAAAUAAUGAGGAGAAAACCCAUGCCUACUUGAUUAUCAAUGCAAUGGGCAUUCCCUUCAACCAAAAUUACUUAAUAGUGCUUGAGUUGAUUCCUUUCCAGAAACUAUGCAGGGGAAAACACUACCACAUUAAGCAUGUACUAAAUGUUGUCUAACUAAUCCUCUCUAAAAUAAAUAAAACAAGAAUCAUAGACAGGUAAUCAAUGCCAAUUUUCCCUUCACCAUUCCCUCCUUAAUAUUUUGUAUUUCAAUGACUAAGUUGCCUUAUUCCAAUUUUAACAUAGGACCUAUUGUCUUAUAAUUAGAAAGAAACAAAGACUAAGUAUGGCCCCAGCAAAUCAAGCCCAAUUAAAAUGACAAAAGAAUCUGCGAGGAAAGACAGUAGAACUUACUGGAGGAAGGUAAACACCGUAACCAAGUCUUGGAUACAACCAUUUUGCAAUAUUAGCAUCAAUUUCCAUGGCUGCAAAAUCAAUCCAUUGCUCGAUAUGACCCUAAGAAAGCCAAAGUAAUACAUACAAACAAUUACUUCCAUGGUUUAAAAUAAACUUAACUGAUGACAGAAGAAUACAAGACCAUUGUACUAUAAGAAUCUUACAUAAUCAAUCAAUGUAGAACCACAUAUAGGGUUGUUAACCUUUGAGCGAGCAACUGCAGAGAAAAGUAUACCAAUAAGUAAAAACAAACAUUAGAGGAAGAAAAUUUAGGAUAUGGAGUCAGCAGAUCUUCUCACCAUAACGAGCAAUGGCAUUGCUCUCAAAUACAGGACCCUCAGGUGUUUCCAACACAGGAACCUAGAAGAGUUAUAAAUAUCUUCAGUGAACAGACCUAGAAAAAAGGUUACAUAACAUGUAUAAAAAAAAUUCUCUAGUUUAAAUCUAUUAAUAGGCGUUACAAGGUCACCUUCCCCAAAGGGUUCAUCUUGAUGAACUCAGGAGUCUUAUUUGACACACCCAUCUCAAAAUUUUCAACCAUUUUGACCUGCACACCACUAUAUUCUGCAGCAAUGAGUGCCUUAAAGGCAUUUUUGUUUGUUUUUCCUGCAUGCAAGACCUGCAUGUAAAUCAACACACCACAUUGAUUAGAAGAACCGGUUGAUUAAGAAGUUGAAUUGAAUGUCAAACACCAGUCAAUCCCUACAACGAAUCCAGUAAAAUCCUGAAAUUGAUCCUUUUCGCCCCAUAAAUUCUCUUAAAGACCAUUCACUUUACAUUCUAAACUACUAACCGGUACUUAGCAUUUCCAUCUACCAUACACAAUUAACCUAAUUGACGUAACAUCUCGCCAUCCAUCUUUCUUCUGGUCAAUGGUUCCCAGUUGAAAUCGAAGGUGGUAGAGUUAAAAUCAAAAUCAAUUUUUUUAUCGUUAUGAUUAGUAUCUACAAAUCCAUAAACUAUUCCAUUGAUAGUAAUUAUAUAAAACAUAUUCAAUGUGCCACUUCUUUCGCAAUGUAAAAAAGCUAGUUACAAUUUUCACUUUCUAAUUCUACUCGAAAUAACUUCCACUUAAUCAUUAGGUGUCAAUUCUUUCAACAGUUAAACUACCAAAAGAAAUGAAACUAAUAUAUAUGCACAGAUAUAAAGCUUACCAGAGCCAUGGCUUGAUAGAAAAGAGCGCUACGAUUUGAGAACUGAGAUCUGGAAAAAAAAAAACAGAGAACAAAAUAAAAGGAAUAAGGAAAAAUAUUCAAGCAGGAGAACUUGAUUCCCAUGUAUUAAGGAGUAAAAAUGAGAGAAAGGAUUAAGAAAGAACCUUGAAGACGAAAUCGCAGCGAGAAGGAGCGGGAGAGACUGCGGGACAAAGAGAGAAUAAAAGAAAGGGGGACUAGGGUUUUUGUAGAGUAGAGCGAGUGUGAUGUGGGGUUAUCAGUUCGGGUUCCGGUUUAGAUCCAGAUUUACUAACCCCUUUCUUUUUCCGGUUUUUUUAAGCGUGUCUUUGAGGUAAUAAGUCAUUUCAAGAAUAAUUAAAUAAAAAUAAAUUAUAUAAAAAAUUCUCAUAACCAUUGAACCAUUGUUUUUCUCCAAUUUUCCUUUUCACAACAGUUUUGCUUUUUAUGUAAUUACACACAACUAAUUGAUCUGAAUCGAUUGGAUCACUAAUUUUUAAUUUAAUUGUUUAGAUCACUCUGAACAACACUACUUUUCUCAAAUUUUUUAUCUUGUGUCUAUUUUUUUUAUUACCAAUAUAAAUUAACUUGGAGUAUAAUGAUUUAUAUUUUUGCUCAUGCUUGAGGUUGUUUGUUUAGAUAAAAGUUAACUCAAGUGAGUUGUAUUUAAUUAAAAACUCUAUUGGUUUGAGUUCAAACAUUAUUAUAUGUGAAGUUUUAUUUUUUAAAAAGAUUAAACUACCCUCGAAUAAUCUAAUUUAUUUUAAAUAUGAAAAACAUUUUUGUAAUUUUUUGAGUUGAUGUCCGGUUAACUCGUAUCACUAACUCAACCAAGGGUUUAAAUAAUAGUAUAGAUUAUUGCAUUUUAAUUAAUUUUUAGAAGGAAUUAUUUCUAAAAAUAUGUUUUUUUGGUGCACCUCAAUAGUCAACACUAAUAACUCAUUUCCCUAAACUCUAGACCCCUAAUUUCAACAAAGUGUAUAAUUGUUGAAAUGUCCACUUGUUGGUCUAAGUGACAAACGCAAAGCACCAAGAUCAUUUUUUAUGCACUAAAUCAUCCACGGUGUUAUUAUAUUGGUUUACCUCAAAUCAAACAAUUUUUACUGAUCCCCAUUGUAACUACUACAAUAGAAAAUCUUACCCAUGCCCCUAAACCUAACAUUCAACUCGAUGAUUUUUGUUAAUCAUCGUGCUUAAACAAACCCAUAAAAAGUUUACAUGUAUAAUUGAAAAACCUUAACCUAUCUCCUUAAACCGUAAAUCCCCAUAGUUGUGGGUUGAGUAAGCUAGAAACCAUGGGGAUUUUUUGAACUUGGCAUCUCUUUCAAAUAACAUAAAAACCCUAACUUAUUUUCCUAAACCUUAACCCUAAAACUUUAAUCCCCAAACAAAACCUUAAACACUAAAUAGAAACAUUUAAUAAAUUCCCAUCAAAUUCUUUCCUCUAAGGGUUUUUAUGCAUCUCUAAUUUCAAUAAAAAGUAACCUCAACUCUCAAAUUCAGAUGCCUUUUGUGAUAAUGGAUUUCCUCAAGUGUUAGAGCGCCAAUUGAGUAUGAAAGCUUCUUUUAAACUAACUUUAAAUAGGCUUUAGGGUUUAUGAUAAACCUUGUUUAUGAUUAGUAUGAAAGAUUUCACUAUAUCAAAACAAUGUUUCAACACUUAUGGAAAACCAUGAUCUAAAUCAAGAGAGUUCAAGUUUUCCUUGAUUGAAGUUAGAUUUUGGUUGAAAUCAUUGAUCUAAAAGUGAUAGUAGCCAGAAUAGGUUGGAGGAAAUUAGUUUUAAAGGACUUUAUCAAAAUUUUAAUUUAGGGUUUAAGGUUUGAGGGGAAAAGGUAAAUAUUUAAGGGUUAAAAGAUUUUGGUUUGGGGUUAGAAGGAAAAGGUUAAGGUUCAACUCUUGUUCAUUAGGUAAAUUGACUACGAUCUUGACACCCAUGGGUUGUUCAGUUUUAGUAUUAAUAAAAUGCAAACAAAUACAUAACAAACAAUUCUUCAUCUUCCAAAAUCAAAGCUAACCACUAUUUAAAGAUAUUGAGUUUAGUACCCUAAAUGUAGUAUAUUUAUUUUGUAUAGUUGUAUUUUUCGAGAAAAUUGGUUUAAUAAAAAUAUUCAUUGAUUACAUUAAUAGCCUUUGUAUAUUAUCCUCAACGAUUUUGUAUGCAAAGAAAAAUGGAAACAAAGAUUGGCUCACUAGUUAUCUAACAUUUAACAAAUGCUAAAUGGUAUUACGUGGUCGGAUAGUAAUACAAAAAAACAACUUAUAUUAGUAGAUAAACCUAAAUAAGUCAUUAGUCUAAUUGGAAAUGAGCAAGCCGCUUUAAAGACUUAAGUCGUCUACCAAGUCCAAUUGGGGAGAUGCUUUGUCUUGAGCAUCAAAACGAAGGACUCCCAGAAGAUAGAGACAUAGAUGUCACUGACUGGACUGACAAUACAUUGGACAUGACCUAAGUAGGAUAGAUCCUAGAUUGUUUUAUGAAUUUAUUCACUUGAGACAUUCAUAGUGUGACAUACCUUAAUCCUGAGUGGAUGAUGGACUAUGCAUGUAUGACUCAUAUACUUUGAUGGAAGUAAAAGCCUAAAUUCAAAUAAAUAAGGAACCGAAAAAUCGGUAUAUUGCGUAUACGACUUCUACAACAUAUAGCAUCAUUCACAAUAGUGGAAUUCAUAGCUCAAAUAAUAAGUAAAUGAUAUCCUCUCAUUGGCAUUACAUGAUAGAUGAAAAGUAAACAUGGCCACGAGUCAUUUGUCUUUGUGAUAAAUGACUUGAUUACUAUUUAAUAGUACUAGGGACUGCAAACCCUAGUAUAUUUAACUAGGGUUGUCGCCCCGCCCUCCAAUCCUAGUUAGACUAGGAUUAUGUUUUUCUAUUGAAAUAGACUUCUAAUAAUUCAACAAGGGUUUCAAUUCUUCUCCCUAUAAAUAGAUGGAAACAGUAAGGCUAAAUACAAAACUUUGAGAUAUUGUUAUUCUGCCCGAAAAUAGUGAGAAUUUAUUUUCUAAGUAUAAAUUCUAUUUUCUAGAAUAACAAUUCUAUUGGUUUAUAUUAAAGAGAGAUUUUCUUUUCCACUAAAAGUAAAGUAAAUAAUUUAUGGUUCUGUGCUUUAUUUGAAUUUGUUCGAGCCCACAAUCGAAGUAGUUCGUGGUACAGGAAUAACAAAGAAGGCCAUUCGAUUGAAAGCCAAGAAUGACAAGGACCCGUUUAGUCGAAAGCAUAAGUGCAAUUUCUGUAAAGGUUUUAUUGAUAUAACUAUCACAAAUCGGUUUGAUUUUCAAAAUUUAAAUUUUUCACUGGGCAAAAAAACUGUUUUCAAAUCAAUUUUUUUCCAACUUUCAUAUUAACCAAGAAAUAAUAACUAGACUUAUGAAAGAUGAUACCUUAAGUUUGCUUAAGGAAAUUGAUAUUCCACAAUAUGAAUAUUGCUUGGAAGGUAAGAUGACUAAGUGAUCUUUUAAUGCAAAAGGAAUGAGGGUUGUGAAAUCUUAGAACUUGUGCACACUGAUAUAUGUGGCCCUAAGAACGUCAGUGUGCGAGGUGAUUAUGAUUACUACAUAACAUUUAUAGAUGACUAUUCCAGAUAUAGGUAUGUAUACCUAAAGCACCGUAAAAGUGAAACUUUUGAUAAAUUAAAAGAGUUUCGUGCAGAAGUGGAGAAAGAACUAGGUUUACCCAUAAAGACACUUCGGUUUAAUCAAGGUGGAGAAUACUUAUUGGAUGAGUUCUUUGGUUACCUCAUAGAGAAUGUAAUAUUAUCUUAAUUAACCGCGCCAGGAACCACACAACAAAAUGACAUGGCAGAGAAAAGGAAUCGAACCUUGUUGGACAUGGUUCAAUUGAUGUUAAGUUAUUCAUAGCUUCGAGUCUCCUUUUAGAGAUAUGUUUUACAAAUGACUUGCUACAUUUUGAAUGAUGUACCAACUAAGUUUGUACCUAAAACUCCAUACGAAAUAUGGAAUGGCAGGAAGCCAAGUCUAAAUCAUUUAAGGAUUUGGCGAUGGCCAGCCCACGUGUUGGAUAAAGAUGUGAGGAAAUUGGAUUCACAGAUAAAGUUGUGUAUGUUUGUGAGAUAUCCAAAAGUAAUAAAGGGUGGUUUGUUUUAUAACUCGAAAGAGAAAAUAUUGAUAGUGUCGAUUUAUGCUCCUUCAUUGAGAGGAGUUAUACGAACGACUUUAAAUCUUGAAGUAAAGAAGUACUUGAUGAACUUUGAGGAAGUACACAAAUCCUUGGUUUUAAAUCCAACUUCUAAUAAUAGACUUGUAAACAAUCAUCAACAUAAGGAGCUUCAUUGUAGUGAGAAGGUUUCUCGUAAGCCCGAGUUCUUCUAGUCUAGCAGAAGUGUUUUAAACACUGAGUUUUUUGAACAGGAAGAUGAUGACCAACUCACAUUUAAAAAAAUGAUGCUGAAUGCUGAUUCCAAGCUUUGGGAAAUAACUAUAAAAUCUGAGAUGAAUUCUAUGAAAUCCAGCUAAAUGGAUAUACAAGAAGAAAAGAAUGUGAAUGGAAAGUGGAAACUUAUAAGGCUAAACUUGUAGCAAAGGGGUAUACUCAGAAAGAAGGUAUCGAUUACGAAGAAGCCUUCUUUUUGGUUUCCAUACUCAAGUCAAUCUGUAUAUUGUUAUCCAUUGCGACGACUCUUAAUUAUGGAUCUGUCAAAUGGAUGCCAAGCCGAUAUUCUUUAAUGACUAUCUUGAAGAAGACACUUAUAUGAUGCAACCCACUCGAUAUAUAGCUAAAGGAAAUUAGCAUAAAAUUUACAAAUUGCUUAGAUUCAUAUAUGGACUUAAGCGAGCAUCCCGCUCAUGGAAUCAAAUAUUUGAUCAAAUGAUCAAAACUUUUGAAUUUGAGCAAAAUAUUGAUAAACUUUCUGUUUAUAAACAUAUUAAGGAUGGAAAGAUGGUUUUUCUUAUUGUAUAUGUCGAUGACAUUCUACUCAUUGGAAAUGAUUUAAGUACAUUGUCAUCGGUUAAAUUGUGAUUAACCCAACAGUUUAGCUUGAAGGACUUAAGAGAAGCUAUCUUUGUUCUAGGCAUUCGAAUUCUAAGGGAUAGAAAGAACAAAGUGAUAGCAUUAUCACUAGGUAUAUACAUAGACAAGAUAUUGAAAAUUUAUACGAUAACUGAUUCAAAAUUUAGUCAUUAUACUAUAGUGGAAUAACUUCACGACCAAAUAAGUUUAUAAUUAAUAGACGAAAAGUUGGACAUUAAUUAUAAAUUAUUUAAGCCCUAAUUACGUAUGUACAAUUGGUCCCCCCACUAGCUCGUUGAAAAAAAAAUUAAUUGCAUGUGGAACAAAAUGAAUAGAAAUGAAUGGAAAUGAUAAUGUCAGAGAAAUGAGUCACAUUAACAAAUUAAUGUGUUUUCUCACCAGGUAUAGAAAUGAAUUGAGAAAUUAAUUUAAGGUUUUCGAAUGAUUAUUUAAUUAAUUAUAAUUAAAUAAUUGAAGUUAAAAAAUGAAAUGAAAUUAAUUUUCUAUUAUGAAUGCUUUGAAUAAUGAAAUUAAAUAUACUUCCUCAUAAAAUCUUUUACAAUAAAGUUGUUAUAACUUUAACGGAAUUAGAAUUGAGUUGAGAUAAUUAUUUAAUUGAGUAAUUAAUUUAGUUAAUUAAAUUAAUUAAUUAAAUAAUAUUUAUUUUUGAAAAUAGAAAAUAAACAUUAGGUUGGAUUAAAUCAUAAAAUGCUAGGUUAAAAGUUUAGGAAACUCAUAUAAUUGAACCCAAUACAUGAGAGGUCAAAUUUGUCCCGUAUAACAUGUGAGCAACAACAACCCAAAGGGAAUUUAAGAGGAUGUGUUGCCUCCUCUCUCUUAGUUAGACAAAGAGAGUGUUUUCUAUUAAAAUAAUUGUUGAGUAUGACUCCUAUUUCAGUCAAAUUUGAAAAAUAAUCUUCUAGUUAAACUCUGUUUAUUUGUUUCAAUCAAAUUAUGAUUAGUCUAGAUUAUUUUUUUAUUAUUUGACCUAUGAAUUUAGCCUAUAAAUAGGCUCUUUUACAACUUUAGAAAAUACACCCAUUAGAGAUUAGAACUCAUACACUUUUGGAGAAUUUUUGUGUUUACAUUUUGAGGGUUCUUUGUUUUUUGGGGUUUCAGGGUUUAGUUUCUAUCUUCAUCUUUGUACUAUUCGUUCUUUUUUCAUUAUAGUAAAAUUAUUUUUGCCCGCAGUAUUUUAUCUUCUUUGGAGGGGUUUUUCUACGUUAAAUUUGUGUGUUCAAUUUCUCAAUUUCUUCCGGUAUUUUUACUUGUUCGUUGCUUAAUUGGGUCAAUCCCCAACAAUAACAUUAUUUGUUUAAGCCUUAUUCAACCAAGAUUCUUCUAUCUCUCUCUAUGAAUAGAUAGCACCGAUUGACUUAAAAAACACACUUAUUAGUUAUUGAUUUAUCGUUAUUCUACCAAAAAAUAGUGAUAAUUUAUUCACUUAGAAUAAAUUAUAUUUUUUGGGAAUUACGAUUUUUACCAGUUUCUUAAGAGAAUUUUUUUCCUACUGAAAGUAAUAAUAAUUUCUUGUUCGUUGUUUGGUUCGUGUUUCUCGAGCCCACGCUCAACCCAAAUCCAUCUUGCACAAUGUAUAGGUACUUUUUGGUAAAACGUUUAUUGCUAUAAACAUCAUAAAUCGGUUUAGUUUUUAAAAUUUUUAAACUUCUGCUAUAACUAUAAAUCGUUAUGAAGGAUUUUGAAGAACCAUAUUUUUAAGUGGGACCGUGUGUAUUAAAUCAAAUAAAAUUAUGAAGAAUUUUGAAAAACCACAUUUGUAAGUGGAAUUGGAAAAAGGAAAUUGAGCUACUGAGAUCCCCUCUUGAAAUUACUUAUAAAUUCUGAAAUUCUUUAAUAUAUUUACCCAAACAAAUAAAUUCAUUUUUAUAAAUUUAAAAAUCUUGAUAAAAAUAAAAUCCCUCCUAUAAAUCCCUCACCCAAACACACUUUUAAGUACCUAUGCAAGUUAGGAAGCAAAUGAUGACAAGGACUCAUCACUUACAAAUGAUCCAUUAGAAUGUCUGACCGGCAUUACACGUGUGUGCAUAAAACAACAAAUUUAUAAAAAAAAAUUUAUAGCAAGGUUUUACUGCAAUCAUGCAGGUUAGUUGUAAUAUUUGUAGUGUUACAAUGGAACACCAAAAUAUUCCAAGGAUCGAACUCAAAGGAGUUGGUGAUUUAAUGAUCUGCCACGAAUUAUUGACCGCCUUCAGACAUACUAACAUCUAGAGUGUGAAUAUUGCAGCAAAAGAUAUAUAUAAAUGAUGCGGUAUCUGCAAGUACACGGGUCAGGUUGUAAUAUAGUUACAACGAAGUAUGUGAGUACUCUGAGGAUCGUACCCAAAGGAGGCUAAUACUAGCUCAAUUUCAACCUAAACACCAAAAGAUCUAAUUAGUACUUGAAAUAAGUUAUAUUACGAAAAUAUAAAUAAUAGAGAUUUUUGGGGGUUUUUUAUAGUAAUGAAAAUAUGACAAGUAAUUAAAUAUUGAGAAAUUGAAAAGUGAAAUUAAUCAAAUCUGAUUAUGGGUGAUUAGCUCACUUCAGUAAUCUUCAUCAACUGCCGCUUUAGGUUCCUCAUCAAUCAACUAGUUGAUAUCCUAGUAGAAUCUUCCGAUGGAUCCACUAGAACAAUAAGUCAGCAAUGACUACUUAUCUUCUGACCUCACAGUCUAGACCGGUUUGAGGUGAAGGUGUUUACAGAUAGGCCAUAGCAAUUUUAGGUUAAUUUCCACCUUGAUAACUUCUUAGGGUCGUCAAGCCUAGGUUUUACGUUCUUCUUUUCCCAAACAGCUGAUCUGUUGAGUAAUCCUACAAAACAGUUAAUAUAUCAUAGCUCCACUCGCUAAUCCCCCAUAAAAGGAUUAGUUCCUCAUGGUUUUCGUAAACAAUAUAAAGUUGAUAUAAAGUGUAAACAUGAUAAUUGAAUCGAAAGUAUAAAGUUUAAGAAAAAGCCUGAUUUGUAUUACGAAGAAGAAUGAAUCCACAAAGUUUAAUCGUAUCCACAAGUCAUAUUUCCUGAGAUAAAACAAAGAACAAGCUGAAAUAAAUAUAAAACCUAAGAAAAGAUAAAUACUAAACUAAAAAUAAAAAGAAAGAUUCUAAGCUAAGUAAUCAGUGUCUAUAACAUGUGCCAAAUGAGCCUAUUUAUAGAUUUGAGGUGAUCGUCGUCCUUAACCCUAGGUUAGCUGACAUUCCCGAACUUUAAGUUGGAUUGUGCGGACCAAAAUACCCCCUGGCUCGUAUUAAUUCCCGUCAAGAGUUGAUGUUGCGACACAUCAAAACCUGUGUCGCGACAUAAAAGUCAGUAUACUUUUCUUCAAAGUGUCUUUAGGGGUAUGUCGCGACAUCCUUAAGCUGUGUCGUGACAUCAAAGGAAAUCUUAGAAUUCCUCCAUUCUGCUCCCUAUGUUGCAAUAUCGAAUCCUCUGUGUUGCGACAUAGUGACUAGUAUCAGUUUAGCACGCCUCCUAAUGGUCUCCUAUAUACUCACAAAGUUCAUUAGCUCACCCUUAGACCUCGUUCGACCCCUAAGGUCAAGAAAAGACUCAAUUUAUACAUUUUGUUGAAUUUAAUUAAACUUACUAAAACAUAAUUAAAAUCUAAUGAUAAUGCUUAUUUUCAAGCUCUUAAAGUGAAAAAAUUAGUUUAAUCUACUAACCCAAUUAUGACAGAUCAAUUAUAUUAUUAUUAUUUAUAUCACUUUUUACACGUAAUUUUAGCUUGUUUAAUAGUAAAUAAAAUUAUCUUAGUAUAUAUUUAUGUUUUCAUACUUGAAGUAAUGAUGUAUGCUUUUUAGUAGUUUUUAUUACAUUUUAGAUAUAUAAAUAUGGUUGCAUGGUCCUGUAGGACAAUCUGGGAGCAAAAGAUGCAUAUUCAUGAUGGAACUGUUGCCUAUGUCGCGACACCAACACAUCGAUGUUGUAACAUCAAAGGCAGAAGCAAAAACAAGUCAAUGAGCGAAACUGCUUGGUAUGUCGUGACAUAGCCUUACUAUCUUGGAGCGAAGACCUAAUAAAUUGUACAUAAAUUGAAACCUUGAACUCUUCCUUAUCCUUGGUCUUUUAAUACAUUACAAAAUAGACGUUAGGCUAUAGAUAUUGAGGGUUUAGGUAUAUACAUCAUGGUGGUUUCAAAAAAAUUUAGAGCGAAAAAAGAAGAAACAAUAUGAUACAAUGAUUAUAGGUCAAGCAAAAAUGUGCAAAAAAAGAAAAAUAUAGAAAAAGUAAAAAGUAAAAAUAAGAAGAAAAAGUACAAAAUAAAAGCAAAAGCCUUAUGAGUGAGAAAAAAAGUAAAAUGUCAAGUGGCAAAACAAAAAGUCACAAAAGUGAGAAAAACUCAGUCAUCAAUGCACAAAAACUCGUUGAGCCAACCAUAGUUAUUAGUAUUAUAUUGUAUCUUCCUACAUGGAGAGAUAAGGAAGGUGAGAGAGGGAGAAAAAAGAAGGUGAGCUUGAAAGGGGCACCUAGAGAGAGAGGGAAUAAUGUCAUGUGCCUAACUAUUUCUAGUGUUUGAACUAUUUUGAGCCAUAUCUUUCUUUGAACUCGUACAGUCCUAAGCCUCAGAACAUUACAAGCCUAGAAGACCAAUGUGACUUAAGCGUUCUCUGUGCAUAAUCUUCUAGUAUUGCUAAUGUAAUGACCUAAAUUCAAGGUUAGCGGAAUAGUGGUUUCGUAACCAUAAAUCCGAUUUAAAGAAAAAUUUAUUUUAAUAUUUUGCAUGAAUAUUGAUAUGAUAGGAAAACCGUAUGAAAAUAUUGAUAGAAAAAUUUUACCGAUUUAAUGGUUAGUUAGAAAAAGAAAUUAUUGAAGAAAUUGGGUAAAAAUAAGGUAUGGGGACCUUGAUCUCGUAAAACUGAGUCAGAAAUAUUUUUAUAAAUAUUUAUGAAAUGUAAGCAAUGUGGUAUUAAAAUUUUGUUAUAAAAUUUUAAUGUUUGGGUAGUCAAUUAAAUGAAAAGGACUAAAUUGAAAAAGGUGUAAAAGUGGCUGGGAUGAUUAAAUAGCUUAGGUGUCUAAUGAGAAAGGAUUUAAAAGGCAAUUAGACCAAAAUUUAUUUGGGCUGGACGGAAAGGGCAUGAAAUCAGCAAGAAAAUGGAUUAUUUAAGGGUAAAAUUGGAAUAUUGCAUCAUUAACUAAAUAAAAUUAGGACUAAUGUAGAAAUAUCUAGAUUUCUUGUGAUUUCUCUUCAUUCUCAUCAGCCAAAAGGCCAUAGGAGGGGUUCUUUAAGCUGGUAUUUCAUAAUUUUUGCACCAAGUGAGUUAAUCCUUGCCUUUUUCUUGUAAUUUUUGUGUUUCUAAGACUUUUACAACUAGGUUCUACUAUUAAAUUCAUUAGUUUUUGAUUUCAUGGAUGGAAUUGAAAGUCACCAUGGUUGAGUGCUGUAAGUUUAUGAUGAAAUAACAUGAAAUUGAAGCUUUAAUUUGUUUAUGAGAUGAUUUUAUUAGGUAAUUUUAAUAGAAAUUGAUUUUUAAGACCUAAUUGUGAAAAGUUGGAAUUAAAGUCUAGUGCUGAAAUUUUGAUUCCCAAAGGUUAUAAAGUAGUUUAAAGUGAUAGAAUAAAGUGUUAAUUGAGAAAAAUCAGCUCAAUUGAGAGGUUAAUUGAGCAGGGACGAAAUUAUCAUUUAUUAAAAGCUUAGGGGAAAAUGGUAAUAAACAUCUUGCACUAAAACAGCUUUGGACAGCAACAGUAGGCUAACUUUAAAAAAAUCACCAUAAAUUGUGGAAAUCUAAUUAGAGGAUAAAUAAAAUAUUGAAUUAAAGCUUAUUGAGUCUAGUUUCUUAUAGUAGAAACGGUGUAAGUAAUGGAAUUGUAAAUCAUGAGAUAUAUUAAAUUUUGUGAGACAAGGUCAGAAUGAAUUCGGAAUCCCCUGUUCUGAAUUUGGAAAAUCAUUAAAAAUUGGAGAAAAAUAAUUAAGGGUUAAAAUUUACAUAUUUAAACUAUUAAUGAGUCUAUUUUUAAUAGAAACAAACGGAAAUAUCAUCCAAAUUUUGUACUAAGAGAUAAUUAAUUUUUAGCAAAGAAAGGUCGAAGUUGUCAAACAACAGAACAGGGGUAAGUUUGAAGAUUUUACUGUACUCAUUGGCUGAACCAAAAAUUCUGAAAAUUUUAUGGUGAAAAUAUAUUUGAGUGUAGUUUCAGAAGCAUCAAAUGGUUUUUAAUAUGGAAUUCUGUAGCUUGAGAUAUAAAUAAUUUAGUGACUACGACUCAAGUAGACAGCUUUGAGUGAACAGUAAAUAAUAGUGGAAUUAUAGAGAAUGUUACAUAUGAACGUGAAAUGUAUUAAAUUGAUGAUUAAAUUUAUUUAUUUAGAUCCAGAAAAUUCAAAUAUGAAGCUAGAUCGAGGAAAGGAAAAAGUUCGGGAUUAGUAGAUUUUUGUAUACGAACAAGUAUCGAGGUAAGUUUGUGUAACCUGAAUUAUAUUCUUAAAUGCUUGAAAUGUAUAUUAUUGAUGUGAAUAUGAUUUAAAUGUUCAUUGUAUGAAAAUUGAUGAGACAUUGAUAUAUUUGAUAAAAAGGGGGAAAAAUCCCGGUUGAAUAAAAGGAAAAUUCGAUGGAUCUUUAAAAAGGAAUUGACGGUAAAGAAAAGAUCUAUCCCGGACAGGUGAUCCUACCCUGAUAUAGCCCUCUCGAAGAAUAUGUGUAAAAUAGAUUUAGCUCAGACGGGUAAUCUGAAUUAGGGUUUGAAUUUAGCCUGGACUAGUAAUUCAGAUCCAAGCUCAUUAGAGUAAAUUGUCGUUGUAGGGGAUUUAGCCUAGACUUGUAAUCACAACAAUACUCUAUAAGUUUAUAUUACAGGGGAUUUAGCCUGGACUGGUAAUCCUGCUGUAAGGAUGAGGUUCGCAGGAGUGUGCUCUCUGAAAUGGAAAUGUGCGCACAUGAAUAUGAAUUGACGGACCCGGAAUAGUACGCUAAAAGUGUACCUCUAAAAACCCAUCGAAAUUCCGAGAAAUUCAAUGGGAUAAAUAUGGUAAAUAAUAAGGGUAAUAGAAAACAUGGAAUUGAUGAGCUCAUCAGUCAUUAAUCUUUGUAUUGAACUCAUAUGAUGCUAUUUGAUUAAUGUUUUGGUUGAGUUUGUGUGAUAGGUAAAUGGUAAAUUGAAUGGAUGUAUGAAUAUUUAUUGUAUUGUAUUGGAAAUAUUAGGUAAGUAUAAUUCUUGUUACAUGACUUUACUAAGCACAACGUGCUUACCCUGUUUCCUUUUUCCCUGAUUUGUAGUAUUAAGAGCUCGAAGGUUGGAUUCGGUCGGAGAUACAUCACACUAUCAACUUCAACAUUUUGGUAUAUCAAGAAACUUUAUUUUGGAAUCACUGAUGUGUAUAAGUUGAUAGAGUAAAUGUUAAAGUGAAAUGAAUGUAAAGUUAGCCAUUGGUAUGGCUUGAAAUCCAGGUUUUGGUAUGUGAUGAGGUUAUCUUAUGGAUAUGCGUAAAUCUAUCUUGAAAAUAUGUUGAAUUUGAUUGGUUGAUUUGAUUUGAUAUCGGUGUAUGUUUUGGGCUUCGGAGGCCUAUCUAAGGGACGUCAUAAUAUGUUUCAAUAAAAGAAUAGUAUUUAACUCGUAAUAACGAAAAAAAAUAAUUUGAAAAACUCUGGCAAUGCCUCGUACCCUAUUCCAGUGACGAAUAUAGGUAAGGAGUGUUACAGCUAACAAUUGUACUUAAUGAAAAUUUUUUAUUCACAUGAUUGUAUCUACUCAAUAUCUAUUUGAUUUCUAUUAACGGUGAUAUUGUUAAACAUUUGGUUAUGAGAUUUGCUUCUAAUUUAUUAGUAAUGUAACUUUGUAAAGUAAUCUUAGUUUACUUUAAAAAGUUUUCAAUGCAUCGAACUAUCAAUAUUAAGUUGCAUGUGCGAUAAAAUUUUUUAUAGCUUUACUAUUUGACAACCAUGUUCGUAGUAGUAAUAAAUUCCAAGGGACGUCUUCUUUUUGCAUACUAUAUGUCUAAAGUUGGUUUGCUUGAGGACAAGCAAAAAGUUAAGUGUGGGGGAGUUACGUGUGAGAUUCUUAUUUACAUCCAUCUUCACUAACUUUAUCUUGUUUAAAUAAAGAAAUCAAGUCAUUUUCGUAUUAUUUUUUUUCCUUUUUCCCAUAUAUGUGUUUUGGUUGCUUGAGGACAAGCAACAAGUUAAGUGUGGGGGAGUGAUCUACCAGGAAUUAUACUAUUAUUUACAUCCCUUUGUAUACAUAAUUGUAUCUUGUUUAAUAGUAAAUCAAGUUAUCUUAGUAUAUAUCUAUGUUUUCAUACUUGAAGUAAUGACAUAUGUUUUUUAGUAGUUUUAUUACAUCCUAGAUAUCUAAAUAAGGUUAUAUGGUCAUGUGGGACAAAUCGGGAGCUAAACAUGCAUAAACGGGCCAAAAAUGAUGCCUAUGUCGUGACACCAAGACACCGAUGCCGCAACAUCAGAGACAAAAGCAAAACAAGUCUUGGGGUGAAACUGCUUGUUAUGUCAUAACAUAACAGGCACCAUAUUUGAUUUUGCAACACUACAUGCCUAUGUUGCAACACCACUUCUGCGCGGUCCAAAAGUCCUAGUGCGUGAUAGUUGCAUUUUUUAGGGAAAUUAGGAGAAUUUUUCCUAGUCAAACUCUAAGCACUUCAAAGAUAGUUUAGGCACUUUAAUAUUCUGAGUUUAGCCUAUAUAAAGGCCAUUGUAAUAAGUUCAAACACACAAUUUUAAGGAGACAAAAAUUAUUCUUAGGUUUUUAUUGCAUUCUUAGUUUCUACUUAGUUUAUUUUAUGUUCUUGUAAUCAAAAGAUCCUAUUCCAAAGUGAGACUUUUGCGAGCGGAGAUUGUUCGGAGCCAUACUUUCAUCGAUAAAUCUAUGAGCAUCUCUUUCCUUUAUUUUAUUCUUUAUAUUUCUUUCUUUAAAAUUGUUAAUUGAAUGUUUGUGUAAAGAUUAGAAUCAAUAUAAUUUAUAUAUAUUUCGCAUGUUUCAAUUGUACUAAUCUUAUUAAUUGAUUGAUUGAUAGAGUUUAUUUGGGUUGGUUAGAUUUGGUUGAGUGUUAUUAAACCCUAGGAUUGACAACCCUAAGAAGUCAUCUAGGUAGGAAUUAACUUGAAAUUGGUAUUGCCUACAAAGCAUCACUUAGCAAAUCAAUGGUUAGAGAAGGAAGAACUUAAACCCUAUGAUAGACGAUCCUAGGAAGUCAUAUAGGUGUGAAUUAACCCAAAUUCGGUAUUGCCUAUCCAUGAAAACCUUACCCUACCCCGAUCUGGACUGCAUCAUUGAGAGGUGAGUAGUUCUUGUCGUCUAGUUAGGUUAGUAGAAGUUGAGAAGCCCUGCUAGGUUAAUUAGUAACCAACUAUUUAGAUCCCUACAUCAAUAAUUAAUUAGGUAAAACAAUUGGAUCUAGGCUUAAGGAACUCCCGUAUUCGAAACAAGGGAUAGGAGAAGUUGAUACAUGAACUUAAGAGUAGAUUUAAGUUUAGAUCACUUUAUUUGGUUAUUAUUAUCAUCUUACUUUUAGAUUAACACUACUAAUUUAUACCUUUAGUAGAUUAGUAGUUAUUUUCGGUAAUUUGCUUAAUAGUAGUUUUUUUUUCACACUGCACAAUCUUCAGAAUACUUACCAAGUAUUUCAUUGUAAACAAACUAUAUUACAACCUGCCCCUUAUACUUGUGAACACAACCUUAAUUCCAUAUAUUUUGUAACAGUAUUCAUACUCUCAACGUUGGUAUGUCGGGAGGCAGUCAUUUAGCGAUUUCUAUUCAAAAGUGCAUGCAAGUAAGGAGACCGUGAUGGGCACAGUGAGGUGUCUAUUAGUUGAAAGCAAGUUGCCAAAGGAAUUUUGGGUUGAGGUAGUUAACACUUCAGUCUAUUUGGUGAACAGGCUGUCAACCAAGGAUGUGAAAGAAAAGACUCCAUUUGAAGCUUGGUACGGGUAUAAGCCUUUUGUUUCUCAUUUGAAAGUAUUUGGCUAUAUUUUUUUUUCAUGUACCUCAGGUGAAAAAAAGCAAAGUAGAAAGGAAAUCGUAGCCUGGGAUUUUUAAGAUGCUACUAUCUGAUUCUUAAGGAAAUACCAAUAUUUCUUCCUCCCUUGAGCUGGAAGUUGCGAUUUUGGGUUGUUAUGAGGAGAUAUUUUAUGUUUGGUUAAGUAGUAUGACUUUGUAUGCGAGUUCUGAAAGAGUAAGUUUGUUAGAUUUGGUAAAACAAAAAGAUAAAGAUAUGAGGCUUUGUUUGGGGACUUCUAAUGUUAGAAAUGUUAGUAAAAAGGUAUAUGAAUAAAUUUUGAUGUGCUUCUAUGUUCUGUAUCAGUGCUUGCUGUUGAUUUCGUAAUGAGAGUCUAGAUCUAGAGUUUUUCUUUGCGACAAGUUAGAAUCAGGUGAGUCUCUAAACUGACUCUUGUAUGUAUUAUUCAUACUAAAAAAACUGUAGGAAAUUUCUUGGAAGGUGAUGUGUGAUCUUGUAAGUUGCAGUAUGUUGUGUAUGUGACUUAGGAGUGACUAUUAAAGGAUAUAUAUGAGUGUGUGAAUGUUUGUUAAGAAUGGAAUACAUAUCUGGUAUGAAUAUGAUAGUUCUAGUAAGGCGAGGUGAGGUAUAGUUGCAUCUGAAUGUCAUGAAAGUAUAUGUGCAUGUCUUGGAUGUAUGCUAUGAGGAAUGUUCUAUUAAGAGCAAGUUGUUAUUCAAAUGGUGAAUAUGGAUCGUGUCAGUGCAUGUAGAGUAUCUGUCUGUCUUCACGGUAUUGUCUAAAGGAGUCUGUUGAGACUUUAAACACGAAUUCUGAAAAGAAAAUUCCAUGGCCAUGGCACAUUCCGAAAGGAACUAAAGGACGAGGAUUACCCAAUGGGGUUAUCUGCCUAUCCCAGGAUGAUGAUAGGCAAACCUCACGCAACGUGAGUUUAGGAAAAUCUAUAUCAUAAAUACGUCAGGAAAUGAAGCCUUUGUGGAUAACUCUAAAAAGAAAGCCUUUGUGGCUAACUCUAAAAAGGAAGCUUUCAUGGCGAACUCCAAAGGAAUAACCUCUAUGGCCAAUUGUAAUAGGAUAGCCUUUGUGGCGCAAUGUAAAAGGAACACCUGUGUGGCGAAUUAUGAAAAGAAUAGCCUUUGUGAUGGAUUAUGAAAGAGCAUCAUUCGUAGCAAACUUCAAAUGUGAUGUCCUUGUGGCGUGUCUUAAUAAGGCUCUUAGUGGGAAAACUUUAAAAGAUGUCACUUAUGGCAAUUUUUGAAUUAAGCUAAUUUUCGUAUUCAAUCUGGCUUUUAAAUGUAUUCAGAACACAAUCAACAAGGCAUAAGUUAUCUAUUAAUUAUACGGUGAAGUAUCACAUAGGACUAUCAAUCGAUUGGAAGUAUUGAAUUGAAGAGAUAUAUAGAAAUAAGGAAUUAGUAUGGAAAGUUUAUUUCAAAAUAAGGAUUUGGAAUUGUACAUUUGAAGAAGGUAUUUGUCAUCUACUCACAUGAUGGCUUAGAACUAAGUAUGGUACAGUAAUAGUGUGUUAGUUAAGUUGAUCUUGGAAAGGAAAUGCAAAGAUACUUAUAAAUGCUAGGAUGAAAGGCAUACGUGAUGUAUCGAAUACCCCAAUGGAAAAAGAGUUAAUUUUUGAGUAAGGCAUGAUAUAUAUAGUGUAUGAAGAAUGGAAUUUGAGGGAAGCAAUCGCCAAAGACAGGUUACUGGGCAAGAACAAUAAGAUCAUCUCAUUGAAUCAUCAACUGUAUUGUGCAAAUAUCACAUAGGUAAUUAUAUAUUCCUCACUUAGUUUGUAUAAACUUAUCCAUGUGUAUGUUAUAUUAUAGGUUUGAUUGCAAGGCUACACCAAGAGGGACGAUACCAGGACUACUCUAAAGGAGUGGCGUAUCGGGAAAUUAUGAAUGCAAUUAGUUGAUAUGUUCCUUAGAAUUCAUAUUUUUUUUGUAAUAUAUAGGUUUUAAAUUAGAAAUAUUUAUACCUUAAUUACCAUGUGUUGCAAAUGUAGUUAUCUACUGAACAUACUUAUAUAUUUAGUUUGAAAUCUGCAAUUGAAUAAGUUGUAAUUGUUUGAAAUUUGUAUAAGUAGGUUAAGUUUUUGUUUGUUUAUGUUGGUAAUGCCCAAGAUCUAGAUCCAAAAAAACGGACCAAGCUCAACAAAGGACUUCUCCUCGGCCAUGACUACAAUAAGCUCAGUGAUGCAUUGUCGGUGCAAAUAAUGUUCUUCCCAAAACUUCAAUCCAUCUUCAAACUAGUAGAAUGCUUCUUUUUCACUUAUAUCAGAUAUUUAAAGCAUUUAUUCACUAAAGUACUAAAUAGUGCCUUCUUGAGUAAGCCAGUGCAACUUAGCCCGAGCUUCCUUCUCGGCAUAUUAUUGGUAAAACUGUUUUUUCAUCUCCUUUUGGAACUCCUCCUAAAUUUUAAUUUUAGUCCUACCAUGUUUCUCAUCCGUGAACCUACGAUGCCACCAUAAGAGAGUAACAUCAGUAAAAUAAAUUAAAGCAGUGUUUACCUUAGUGACAUCUAUAAUGACCCAAAAUUCACGGGCAUCGAAAAAGUAUAAUAUCGAGCCUCCGUCUUGAGUUUAAAAAUAAUUAUUAGAAAUAUUUACGAGACUAGUUGUGUGUUUAAUUAGGUUUUAGAUAGGUGAAUUUGGCUCAAUUAAGAGUAAUUAGCAAAAGGGAUUAAAUUACAAUAGAAGUGAAAAUCUAAUCAUAGAUUAAAAGAAAGUAAAAAGGGCUAAAAUGGCAAUUAAGCCAUUUAAAAUGAUUGAGGCGGCAUAAAGGAAUAAAUUUUAAGAUUUUAUUUAUUUAAUUAUAUGAUUAAUGAUAUUUAUUGUUUAUUAUUAGUUAUUAGUUAUUAUUAAAUUAAAAGAUAUUUAGUAAUUAAAUAAUUAGUAUAAGAUUUUUGGGUAAUAAUAAAUUAUGAUUUUGCCAAGUGUGUGGUAAAAAUAAAAUACAAGUGUAUUAUAUUUCUUUAUUUACUUGAAAAUUAAGUAAAAGAUAAUUGUUAAUUAAAUAAUAAUAUUAUGAGAUUUUUAUUUGAUAAAUUAGUUAGAUUGAGACAAGUGUAUGUAAUGAUUUAAUGCAAGUGUACUAAUAAAAUACAUACAUUUGUAAUAUUUAUAAUUAGUUAAUAUAAUAUAAAGUAAAUGAAAUAAAAUGAAAUAAAAACAAAGCAAAAGAAAGGAAAGAAACAGAAUAGAAGAGACGAAACAGGGGAGAAACAGGGGAGAAAGAAGAAAAAGAAGAAAAUAGGGAAAAUAGGGUUUUUGAAGCUUGAAAUUUAAUUUGGUAAGUCAAAUUAGCCCUUUUCUCUUAAUUCUAAUGUUUUAAAAGCUUUAAAACAAAGUUUUGAUGGAAUUAAGUUGAUAUUUUGUAAGUUCAUAGGUUUUCAAGUAACGUUUAUGUUGAACAAAAGAGAUGAAUUAAGAAUUAAAUUGAAUGAAUUUUAAGUUAGAAUUGAAAAAGGGAUUAAAUUGUAAAAGAAACUAUAAGUUUUAUGUUUUAGGGACUAAAUUGAGGGAAAUUCGAAAUUAGCAAAAAUGCUGAAAUUUCGAUAGUUAAAUUUUAGUUUGGAUGAAAUUUGAAUAGAAAUAGAGUGUGAAUUGAAUUAGGAAAGCAAGUGAAUUUAGUUAGGAUUAAAUUGAGAAUUAGGAAGAAAUUGAAUAGAAAUUCAAUUAUUUAUUAUAAUUAGUGCUGUAAUUAAUAUUACAAAUUAUUAUUAUUUUCGUAGCUAACAAAGAACCCGAGGCAUCGGCGUCAAAAGGAAAGGAGAAAGUUAUCGAGGACUAAAACGGGAGAUUUACGGUUUGUAUUACUAUAAUUCAAAUUAUUUAUUUUUAAAUGUUUAAUUUUAAUUUAUGUGUUUAGUAAAUGAAAUGUGCGGUAAGUAUUAUUAUUAUUAUUAUUAUUAGUGGGAAUUAAACUGAAUAUUUGAUAUGAAUUAAUAUUUGAAUUGUUUGUUGAUUGAAAGUGGGAAGUGAAUUUAAAUCGAAUAGUGACUGAUAUUAAAUUGAAUGGAAAUGUAUUGAGUUGUGAAAAUGUGUGAAUUGCGGAUUAAUUAUUGAUUGAAAGGUGGAAAAAUGAUUGAAUUGAAAAUGUGAGAAAUUGUGAUUGAAUUGGGAUUAUAUGUGAUUUAAAUACCCUAUUAACUAGUCGGGCUGAGUCGGAUAUAGUUGGCAUGCCAUAGGAUUGGAAGAGUUCAGGGAUACUUCGACCUCGAGUCGAUGAGACACUGGGUGUCACUAUAUUUUUUCGGAUAGAUUCGAUGAGGUACUGGGUACCAACUUUCUUCGGCUUUGCCGAUGAGACACUGGGUGUCAACUAUUGCUUCGAACUAUCCGAUGAGGCACUGGGUGUCAUACUGGUGUGUUUGGUUGGAUCCGUGUAUCCGCCAAAGUCCGAGUUUUGUUAAUAGGGUAAUUAAUGAAAUGAUAAACCGAACGAGCUACUGAAAUGAAAUGAAAAAGUUGAAUUGUGAAUUGAAAUGUGAAAUGAGAUUGAGAAAUGAACCUAAAGUUCAUGAGAUGUUCAAAUUCAAAUUGUGGAUAUGUGAUAUUGAUUGAUGGAUUGCUAUUGUUGAGAUAUUGAAUUUAAAUUGUAUAUACGAUUUAUGCAUUACAUGUACAUUAUUGUUAUAAUUUGAAUUAUGGUAAUACCACUGAGUAUGAAUUACUCAGCGUACGGUUGUUUCCAUGCGCAGGUCGAUAGAAGUCAAAGGUCUCGGUUCAGCAUCCAGAUUAAUCCCGGCUUCAGCAUAACUUUGGUGAUGUAUAUUUUCUUUUGGUAAUGUGGCAUGUACAUAGGAAUUAUAAGUUUUAUAUAAAUGGUUAAAAAUGUUAGUAUUAUAAGUUUAUGAAUUAUAAUGAAAGAAGUUUAUCUAUUUUAAUCUAAUUAGUCAAUGGAUAAAUUUAAAUUGAUAUUAUGUUAAUUGAGUUUGAUUAGAAGUAUUUAGAAUAGAAAAUGUGAAUGUGAAAUGAAUUGGUUGAUUUGGUUAUAUUUGAAAAUGUUAUGGAUUUUAAUUGCAGGGGGUUGUAUGUAAAAAUAAGCAGAAGUGCUGCCGAAAUUUUUCAAAAAAAAAAUGAAUGAAGUUUAUUAGCGAAAUUUAUAUGAAUUUAUGACUCUCUUUUAUAUGUUCGUUAAUUGUUUAUGAAUUAUUUGAAAUUUGUCUGAAAUGUCCGGUAAUGCCUCAUAACCCUGUUCUGGCAACGGUUCAGGGUUAGGGGGUGUUACAGUUGUUGGUAUCAGAGCUAUCAGGUUUAGCCGAUUCUCGGCCUAAAUCGAGCUCGGAAUUGAGUCUAGAUGUACAUGCCACUGUCGAGUCAAACUGAGUCGAGAUUUUUGGAUGCUGACCUAUUUGUUUGCUUUGUUUUAUAGAUUAAAGAUGUCUGAAGAAAGAAUAAAUGAUACUGAUGAAAGAAUGUAUACUGAAGAUAGAGAAUUAGAUGAAACAGAAUCUGCUGCACCGAGUGUGAAUCUGUUAGGCAACCAGCCUCCUAAUGUGGAACGGGAAAAUGCCAGAGAUAGAGAUGAAUCCCAAUUACUGAGAAUUAUAGCUGAUGCAUUACAAAGAGUAGCGAGAACUACUCCUGCUACGACUUCAGUACCUACUGUUAGACGGGCCCCGAUAAAAGAACUGAGAAAAUAUGGUGCCACUGAAUUUAUGGGUCUAAAAGGAGUCGAUCCAUCCGCAGCUGAAAAUUGGAUGGAGUCGAUUAAAAGAAUUUUGCAGCAAUUAGACUGUACCCCCCGUGAGUGUUUAAUCUGUGAUGUAUCGUUGCUACAAGGGGAGGCUUAUCUAUGGUGGGAAUCAGUAGUUCGACAUCUAUCAGAGAGUCAGAUAACGUGGGAUCUAUUUCAGAAGGAAUUCCAAAAGAAAUAUAUCGGAGAGAUAUAUAUCGAAGACAAGAAACAAGAGUUUUUAAUGUUACAACAGGGGGAUAUGUCAGUAAUAGAUUAUGAGAGAGAAUUCUCGAGACUCAGCAGAUAUGCCUCCAAAUUUAUCCUGACAGAAGCUGAUAGUUGUAAAAGAUUUCUAUGGGCUUUGCGAGACGAGAUCAAGGUACAGUUAGUAUCUCAUCGGAUCACUGAGUUAGUAGAUUUGAUUGAGCGGGCUAAAAUGGUGGAACAAGUUCUAGCCCUUGAUAAAAAGACUGAAGUUGUUAGACCAACCAGGAAAUGUACAGGAACUACGAGUUCGAACCUUCAGCCGAAAAGACCAAAGGAGUCUCAAGGUGGUUGAAGAUCCAGUUUCAGAUCAGGCAAAGGUGGUAGAAGCAGGGGAAGAUAGAUGACGGUAUCUACUGGCAAUGUGAGAGGUCCUUGUCGAGAAAUAGAAAUUCCAGACUGUCAACACUGUGGAAAGAAACAUAGAGGGGAAUGUUGGAGAUUAACUAGAGGUUGUUUCCGAUGUGGUUCUACAGACCAUUUUAUCAGAAAUUGUUUGAAAACUGAUAGUACUGUACCCGUGACAUCACAGAGAUCGGUAUCUACUGCUAGAGGCAGAGGGUUAGGAAGAGGUGGUUCGGUUUCAAGGGGAGGAAGUAUUAGGAGGAGUAGUGAUAUUGCUACCCAGCAGUCUGAAGCUAAAGUACCUGCCAGAGCUUAUGUGGUCAGAACACGGGAAGAAGGCGACGCCCACGGUGUAGUAACAGUAAGAUCAGAACUGUAUGUGAGUUUCCAGAUGUAUUCCCUGAAGAACUACCGGGUUUACCACCUGACAAAGAGGUUGAAUUUGCUAUAGAAGUGUAUCCGGGUACAACACCAAUCUCUAUACCACCGUAUCGAAUGUCGCCCACUGAGUUAAAAGAGUUGAAAGUGCAAUUACAGGACUUGCUAGAUCGUGGAUUUAUUAGACCGAGCAUUUCACCUUGGGGAGCUCCGGUAUUGUUUGUUAAAAAGAAAGAUGGAUCGAUUCGGCUUUGUAUUGAUUACCGGCAGUUAAACAAAGUGACGAUCAAGAACCGGUAUUCGUUACCCCGUAUAGAUGAUUUAUUUGAUCAACUAAAAGGAGCUUCAGUAUUUUCGAAGAUUGACUUGAGAUCUGGGUAUUAUCAGCUGAAAGUAAAAGAAAGUGAUGUUUCGAAGACUGCAUUUCAUACUCGAUAUGGUCAUUAUGAAUUUUUGGUAAUGCCGUUCGGGUUGACUAAUGCUCCAGCUGCUUUUAUGGAUUUGAUGAAUCGUAUUUUUCAGCCAUAUUUAGACCAGUUUGUGGUGGUUUUUAUUGAUGAUAUAUUGGUUUAUUCAAAUUCGGAGUCAGAGCAUGAUCAGCAUCUCAAAACCGUGUUACAGAUUCUGCGGGAAAAAUAGUUGUACGAGAAACUGAGUAAAUGUGAAUUCUGGUUAUCAGAGGUAGUAUUCUUGGGACAUGUUGUAUCUGCGGAUGGGAUUAGAGUUGAUCUGAAGAAGAUUGAGGCAAUUGUUCAAUGGAAGGCACCAAAGAAUGUAUCAGAGGUACGCAGUUUUCUUGGUUUGGCUGGGUAUUACAGAAAAUUUGUAAAUGGGUUUUCGAAGAUAGCUUUGUCGAUGACCAAGUUACUACAGAAGAAUGUUCCAUUUAUCUGAGAUGAUCAAUGCCAGAGAAGUUUUGAAACAUUGAAACAAAUGUUGACAGAGGCACCAGUCCUAACUUUACCAGAAUUAGGGAAAGAUUUCAUAGUGUACAGUGAUGCUUCUUUGAAUGGUUUGGGUUGUGUAUUGAUGCAGAAUGGAAAAAUAAUAGCUUAUGCAUCUCGACAGUUGAAACCACAUGAACGUAACUACCCGACACACGAUUUGGAGUUAGCUGCUGUAGUAUUUGCAUUGAAGAUUUGGAUACAUUACUUGUAUGGUGAGAAAUGUUAUAUUUACACUGAUCAUAAAAGUCUCAAAUAUCUUCUGUCACAAAAGGAGUUGAAUCUGAGACAGAGACGAUGGAUAGAACUUCUGAAAGAUUAUGAUUGUGUUAUAGAUUAUCAUCUAGGAAAGGCAAAUGUGGUAGCAGAUGCAUUGAGCAGAAAGGCAGCGGCUGAAUUACGGACAAUGUUUGCUCGGCUUAGUAUUAAUGAUGAUGGAAGUUUGUUAGCUGAGUUAAGAGUUAAGCCGGUAAUGUUUGAUCGAAUCAGAGCAGCACAACUAGAAGAUGAGAAGUUGAUGAAGAAAAGAGAAAUGGUACAGCAUGGUACGGUAGAAAAUUUUAGUAUUGACGAGCAUGAUUGUUUGAGAUUUCGGAAUCGAAUUUGUAUUCCAGCUACUUCUGAGAUUAAAGAGCUGAUUCUUCGAGAAGCACAUGAUAGUAUUUUUGCUUUGCACCCAGGUGGAACGAAGAUGUAUCGCGAUCUACGAGAACUGUAUUGGUGGCCAAGAAUGAAGAACGAUAUAGUUGAGUAUGUCAGUAAAUGCUUGACUUGUCAGCGGGUAAAAGCAGAACAUCAGGAACCAACAGGUCUGUUACAGCCUAUUACUAUUCCCGAGUGGAAAUGGGAUCGCAUUACCAUGGAUUUUGUUAUGGGGUUGCCAUUGUCAGUGAGUAAAAAGAAUACCAUUUGGGUGAUUGUUGAUCGACUCACAAAGUCAACUCAUUUUAUAGUAGUUAGAACCGACUGGUCAUUACAGAAGCUUGCCGAGGUUUAUAUUCGAGAAAUUGUUAGAUUACAUGGUAUUCCGGUAUCAAUAAUUUCAGACAGAAAUCCUCAAUUCACUUCGAGAUUUUGGAAGCAGCUGCAUGAAUCAUUGGGUACUCGACUUAGUUUCAGUACAGCUUUUCAUCCUCAAACUGAUGGACAAUCUGAACGGGUAAUUCAGAUAUUAGAAGAUAUGCUUCGAGCUUGUGUCAUUGAUUUUGAAUCAGGUUGGGAACGUUAUUUACCAUUGGCCGAGUUUGUUUAUAAUAAUAGUUUCCAAUCUAGUAUUCAAAUGGCUCCGUAUGAAGCACUUUAUGGUCGAAGGUGUCGGUCACCAGUAUGUUGGACAGAAUUAAAAGAAAGAAAAGUGAUUGGGCUGGAAUUAAUUCAAGAGACAGAAGAAACAGUUAAGAAGAUUAAAGAUAGACUGAAAGCCGCUUUUGACAGACAGAAAUCUUACGCAGACUUGAAACGACGAGACAUUGAAUAUUCCAUUAGUGAUAAGGUAUUCCUCAAAGUAUCGCCGUGGAAGAAAAUUUUGAGAUUUGGUCGGAAGGGAAAAUUAAGUCCGCGCUUUAUUGGGCCGUAUGAGAUUGUGGAAAGAAUUGGGCCUGUUGCUUAUCGAUUAGCCUUACCUCCAAAGUUACAGAAAAUUCAUGAUGUUUUUCAUGUUUUGAUGCUUCGGAGAUUUAGAUCGGAUUCUUCUCAUAUCAUUCCCACUGAAGACAUUGAAAUUCGAUCUGAUUUAACUUAUGAAGAAGAACCAAUUCAGAUAUUAGCACGAGAAGUGAAAGAAUUAAGAAAUAAACGGGUUCCUUUAGUAAAAAUUUUAUGGAGAAGUCAUAGUGUGGAAGAAGCGACUUGGGAACCGGAAGAGACAAUGAGAGCACAAUAUCCUCAUCUCUUCUCAGGUAAAUUUCGAGGACGAAAUUUAUUAAGGGGGAGAAAUGUAAUGACCCAAAAUUCACGGGCAUCGGAAAAGUAUAAUAUCGGGCCUCCGUCUUGAGUUUAAAAAUAAUUAUUAGAAAUAUUUAUGAGACUAGUUGUGUGUUUAAUUAGGUUUUAGAUAGGUGAAUUUGGCUCAAUUAAGAGUAAUUAGCAAAAGGGAUUAAAUUACAAUAGAAGUGAAAAUCUAAUCAUAGAUUAAAAGAAAGUAAAAAGGGCUAAAAUGGCAAUUAAGCCAUUUAAAAUGAUUGAGGCGGCAUAAAGGAAUAAAAUUUAAGAUUUUAUUUAUUUAAUUAUAUAAUUAAUGAUAUUUAUUAUUUAUUAUUAGUUAUUAGUUAUUAUUAAAUUAAAAGAUAUUUAGUAAUUAAAUAAUUAGUAUAAGAUUUUUGGGUAAUAAUAAAUUAUGAUUUUGUCAAGUGUGUGGUAAAAAUAAAAUACAAGUGUAUUAUAUUUAUUUAUUUACUUGAAAAUUAAGUAAAAGAUAAUUGUUAAUUAAAUAAUAAUAUUAUGAGAUUUUUAUUUGAUAAAUUAGUUAGAUUGAGACAAGUGUAUGUAAUGAUUUAAUGCAAGUGUACUAAUAAAAUACAUACAUUUGUAAUAUUUAUAAUUAAUUAAUAUAAUAUAAAGUAAAUGAAAUAAAAUGAAAUAAAAACAAAGCAAAAGAAAGGAAAGAAACAGAAUAGAAGAGACGAAACAGGGGAGAAACAGGGGAGAAAGAAGAAAAAGAAGAAAAUAGGGAAAAUAGGGUUUUUGAAGCUUGAAAUUUAAUUUGGUAAGUCAAAUUAGCCCUUUUCUCUUAAUUCUAAUGUUUUAAAAGCUUUAAAACAAAGUUUUGAUGGAAUUAAGUUGAUAUUUUGUAAGUUCAUAGGUUUUCAAGUAAUGUUUAUGUUGAACAAAAGAGAUGAAUUAAGAAUUAAAUUGAAUGAAUUUUAAGUUAGAAUUGAAAAAGGGAUUAAAUUGUAAAAGAAACUAUAAGUUUUAUGUUUUAGGGACUAAAUUGAGGGAAAUUCGAAAUUAGCAAAAUAUGCUGAAAUUUCGAUAGUUAAAUUUUAGUUUGGAUGAAAUUUGAAUAGAAAUAGAGUGUGAAUUGAAUUAGGAAAGCAAGUGAAUUUAGUUAGGAUUAAAUUGAGAAUUAGGAAGAAAUUGAAUAGAAAUUCAAUUAUUUAUUAUAAUUAGUGCUGUAAUUAAUAUUACAAAUUAUUAUUAUUUUCGUAGCUAACAAAGAACCCGAGGCAUCGGCGUCAAAAGGAAAGGAGAAAGUUAUCGAGGACUAAAACGGGAGAUUUACGGUUUGUAUUACUAUAAUUCAAAUUAUUUAUUUUUAAAUGUUUAAUUUUAAUUUAUGUGUUUAGUAAAUGAAAUGUGCGGUAAGUAUUAUUAUUAUUAUUAUUAUUAGUGGGAAUUAAACUGAAUAUUUGAUAUGAAUUAAUAUUUGAAUUGUUUGUUGAUUGAAAGUGGGAAGUGAAUUUAAAUCGAAUAGUGACUGAUAUUAAAUUGAAUGGAAAUGUAUUGAGUUGUGAAAAUGUGUGAAUUGCGGAUUAAUUAUUGAUUGAAAGGUGGAAAAAUGAUUGAAUUGAAAAUGUGAGAAAUUGUGAUUGAAUUGGGAUUAUAUGUGAUUUAAAUACCCUAUUAACUAGUCGGGCUGAGUCGGAUAUAGUUGGCAUGCCAUAGGAUUGGAAGAGUUCAGGGAUACUUCGACCUCGAGUCGAUGAGACACUGGGUGUCACUAUAUUUUUUCGGAUAGAUUCGAUGAGGUACUGGGUACCAACUUUCUUCAGCUUUGCCGAUGAGACACUGGGUGUCAACUAUUGCUUCGAACUAUCCGAUGAGGCACUGGGUGUCAUACUGGUGUGUUUGGUUGGAUCCGUGUAUCCGCCAAAGUCUGAUUUUUGUUAAUAGGGUAAUUAAUGAAAUGAUAAACCGAACGAGCUACUGAAAUGAAAUGAAAAAGUUGAAUUGUGAAUUGAAAUGUGAAAUGAGAUUGAGAAAUGAACCUAAAGUUCAUGAGAUGUUCAAAUUCAAAUUGUGGAUAUGUGAUAUUGAUUGAUGGAUUGCUAUUGUUGAGAUAUUGAAUUUAAAUUGUAUAUACGAUUUAUGCAUUACAUGUACAUUAUUGUUAUAAUUUGAAUUAUGGUAAUACCACUGAGUAUGAAUUACUUAGCGUACGGUUGUUUCCGUGCGCAGGUCGAUAGAAGUCAAAGGUCUCGGUUCAGCAUCCAGAUUAAUCCCGGCUUCAGCAUAACUUUGGUGAUGUAUAUUUUCUUUUGGUAAUGUGGCAUGUACAUAGGAAUUAUAAGUUUUAUAUAAAUGGUUAAAAAUGUUAGUAUUAUAAGUUUAUGAAUUAUAAUGAAAGAAGUUUAUCUAUUUUAAUCUAAUUAGUCAAUGGAUAAAUUUAAAUUGAUAUUAUGUUAAUUGAGUUUGAUUAGAAGUAUUUAGAAUAGAAAAUGUGAAUGUGAAAUGAAUUGGUUGAUUUGGUUAUAUUUGAAAAUGUUAUGGAUUUUAAUUGUAGGGGGUUGUAUGUAAAAAUAAGCAGAAGUGCUGCCGAAAUUUUUCGAAAAAAAAUGAAUGAAGUCUAUUAGCGAAAUUUAUAUGAAUUUAUUACUCUCUUAUAUAUGUUCGUUAAUUGUUUAUGAAUUAUUUGGAAUUUGUCUGAAAUGUCCGGUAAUGCCUCGUAACCCUAUUCUGGCAACAGUUCGGGGUUAGGGGGUGUUACAACAUCAUCCUAAUACCCAACGACUGAUAGUGUUGUUCCAUUUCCCACAAGAAGUUGUCCACUUCUCUAGUGGACCUUCCCCCUCAAACUUCUCUGGUUUGGGAACAUCCAUCUUCCGUUGAUUUGGUCUCGAAGCCAACAUCUUAUUGCUCAAAUUAGCCUUAUAGAUUGUGAGCUCCCCCUUAAGCUCCUCAAUUUUUUCUUUCAAGGUCAUCAUUGUGGCCUCAAGAGCAUCAUCCGUCACGGUCAACUUAUCCACAAUGGAACUAAGCAUCCAUUGCAUCACUUCCACAUUAGAACCGAGAGACUCCAAGAUAAAUUCCUUGAAUUUCUCCUUCAUCGAGUUUAACUCAUUGGUGCGUCGCUCAACUACCUUGAGUGUCUCCCCCAUAUCUCCAAUAGGCUCCUCAAGAUUGGUCACUUGAAUUGCCAAAGCCGACAGCAUUUCCCUCGAUCAAUUAGCUUUGCUAGAGCUCCCGUGGGUCUCCAUAGGCUUAAUUUGAUCUUCUACUCCUUUUGUCAUCUCAAGUGGCACUUUCAAAACCUUAGCUCUAAUACCAACUAUCACAGGGGUAGAACUUUAGUCUCACAAUCCGUGCGACCUUAGGCAAAUUCUUAGGUUCAAAUCCGCCUAAGUUAGUCUAACUCUUGCAAAGUGAAAAAUCUUGAUAGAAAUUCUCUAAGGUGCAAAAAAUAAAGUGAAAGUAAAUCAAAACAAAAGAACAAAAAAUGCCACAAGAAAGCAAAGUACAUCAAGUGUUUGAGUAAAUGUUCUCAAAGUAUUCUAUUACUCUGGAAAUAAUACAAAAAAUAGGAUAGGAUACAAUGGAAUAUUACAAAUGAGGGAGAAUGCCUCUAUUUAUACUUGAGCUCCCCAAGCCAACGAUAUAGAUUGAGUUACAUUAAUGAUUGAGAUUAAAUCCUAUCUACAAUUGAGAUUCUUAAAGGAUUGACUUAAUCUUUUAAGAUUAUAAAAUCAAGUCUUAUCAUGUUACAUAUCUUCUAAGAUUGGUUUCCUUAUUUGCCAAUAUAGCCCUAAUUUUCCAUAAAUGCUUCACUGGACUAUCAAUGCUUCAAGUAGACAGGCUUCUCCAUAUGCUCCACAAAUCGGGCCAGUUCAAAUGCGUCGAAUGAGCCAUGUUUCAUCAUUUGACCUCCAUGGGACAAUCCUUGGCAUUCAUCACGGGCUCUGAUCCGUGACCCAUGACAUAAGCACAUAAAUGUUUAGUAAGUUUAAUUGACAAGUAUUAUACUUAUCUUGCUAGGUGGACCUACAAAUUCAUUGCUCAACAAGCUUCAUAUUCUCGUAUUAGUUACUUAGCAUAAGAUAAGGAAAAUGUGUAGGUAACCAUGUUCAUUAAGUCUAUACAAGCAAAUUAUAACAUGUCCAAUAAGUGUUCAUUAUAUUCUAUUGAUCACAUGUGCACCUAUUUCCACUUUAUUACUACCUUUCAAUUCCAAUUUACGAGUUAAGAUAAUCAAGUUCAUACCUUUUUCAACCUUAAUUCUUUUCUUUAACCAUUUCUUGUCCAAUUUCAAUUUUGUAGCCCAUGUAAUCUUAGUAAAAUAGGACUCGGCUACUAUGAGAAAACCAAAAAUGCUAAGCCCAAAGGCCAUCACAUAUCAUAUCAUGUAGGCCUCCGAAGAGGUAUUGAAAGUCUAAUGGUCUAUAACAAAUGUUCUACCAAGGGUAAGCUAGAACUGGGUUUUCAGAAAACAAACCACAUACCUCUGAACCUCACACCACAACAAAUGUACUUAAGUGUAAGGCACAAAGGCAACAUAUAACAAAUAGGUUCAAAGGCGACAUACACAUAUAACUCUAAUUGACAUGUCAAUCGUAUCCUAACCUUUCUACCAAGUUUACAUAAGCUAUCAUUAACAUACUAAAGAAUUCACAUUUAAGUACCAUUAAGGCAAUUUUUCAUAUGUAUCGUCAUAUUUCCAUAAUGCCACACUUUAAUCACAAGAGUUAAGAUCUUCAAUUGAGGUUUUCAUACCACAUGAAUUUACGUGUUUGUUUAUUCACGUUAACAUGGUUACGUAUAUCAUAAUCAUACUAAAUCUUAACUUGACAUAGUCAAUUACCAUAUUUAACACGUUCUUUCAUAUUUAAUUCUUUGCAUAACAUAGUUCAGUAUAUAAACAUAUUAACUAGUAUAUUCCAUUAAGGUUCUGUUAAUAUACUCAUUAAUUAAUCGUCCAUUCAUGAUCUUAACAUGUUAUAUUCAUUAUGCAUCAAAUUAAAUGUUGUUGAGCUAUUUAACACCUAUAAACAUUGUACUAAAGACACAUAAUAAGCAAAUAUUGUAAGUUCAAGUGAACUUACCUAUUAAGAUCAUUUAAUGAUCAUCAAUUUAAAUUUUCAUUUCCUUAACUUAAGAUUCUACUCAAAAUACACACAACACAUACAAGCAUUGAAUUAAUAAUUUGAAUCUCCUUUGGUUAGUCUUACAAGCAUUGGAUUAAUUGAAUUCAACACUUGAUAGCCAUAUAGUGGCCAUUUUACUUGUUGAAAAUUCAAGAAUGCUUAACCUUUGAGCCUUAGACUUUUAUAUCCAAAAUUGAUAUAACUCGUAAUUUUCCUAUUCAAUUUUUGUUCCAACUUUAAAGUUAUAAUUUCAAGACCUCAAAUGAUCCAAAAACAUGUUUAAACUCCAAAGUUCUCAUAAUUAUCUCUAAGGCUUCUUAAGUACUCAACAAUGGUGGUAUGAACAUCCUUUAACCAAUUUUUAAUCCACCUUCUUUUCUAACUUACACUCUUCUAAGUUCAUCCCAACAUAAGCAUUGAACUAUCAUGAUCAAGCUUCAUCUCUUUCAGUUCCAAGCAUUCAUCUAUGAUUAUCUAAGGAUUUUUCUCAUCAAUUUUAACAUCGAAAAUGAAUGGGCUCAUGCUUAUCUAUUAUUUUAUGCUAUCAAUUAAACCAAAAUUCAAAGGAAACUUAUCAAUUUCUUGAAGAGCAACUCACGGCACCAUGAAACCUCCAUGAAAAUUUUCUUUUUCUUCUUUGUUCUUAAACCAUGGAGAAUGGAUGAGGAUGACCACAUAAUAAGCUUAUUCUCCCACCCACUAAGUAUAUAUAUACCUAAUUAAUCAAUUUAUUAACCUUUAAUAAUAAUCAUCCAAUGUUGGGAUUUAAGCAUGGCAAAUUGAGCGGAAAUGUAUGGCUUUUACCAUGCUUCUCCACUAAGUAAAUAAAUGAUGGUUUAUUUGUCAUUUUAAGGCAUUUGAUUAAUUUUUCAUCCAAUCCUCCAAACCUUGCUAGUGCAUAUUUAGAUCUUAUGCAUCAAUUACUAAUUUAUCAAUUUAAUCCCUUUAAUAAUUCUCGACAAUAUUUCAUAUCUACUUCAUUAACUUCUCGAUUAAUAAUAAAUUUUUGAAACGGCUUGAUCGAGAAAUCGAAUUAUUCCUAUCACAGCGAAAAAUAGAUCAUCAAACUAUUUUAAUUUGAUUUAUUAAUGUCUUUUCCAAAUUCGUAUUUAAUUAAUAAAUAUUCCACAAUAACCUUCAUUAAUUGAUAAUUUUUCCUUGUAUUAUAGGAGAUUUAUAAAUAUUCAUAUUGUAGCAUAAGUAAACUCAAUUUAAAGUGCACAAGGAAAUAGUCAAAUAUCUCAAACUUCAAGAGCCUUUAAUUAAGCCACAAUGUGUUCGCACACUCUAUUAACACUAGUGAAUUUCAUUAAUUAUAAUUUGAUCAUUAGAGUACUAGCUAAAAUUUUAUCCCAAGAUUCAAAUUGUCUUUCAAUAAAUCCUCGACAAUUUUGUGGUCUCUAACUCAAAAUUUUUUUACUUUUGUGAUAUUCGUAAAGAACAACUUCAGCAAGUAAUUCAUCUUUAUGAAUAGUCAUCACUAAUUAAAUCAUGCAUAUUAAAUUUGAUAUCAGAAAAGCUUACAAGUCGCAUCAUAAAUACAUAAUUGUGAUAUAUUUGAAUGGUUUUCCACCUCAGCAUAGGCUUAUUUUAGAGUAAAUUUGUAUGCAUUUUAGGGAAAAAUACCAAAAAAACCAAUUUUUUUUUAAAUUUACCGAAAUGGGCUCAGUAUUUUAUUAUUUACCGGAAUGGGCAUUUUCCCCGAAACCGCGUCCACGUCAGCACGAUGUCAAGGUACGUGCCAGGAAAUCGCGGCCACGUCAGCGCGCUUUGCUGACAUGGCAACAAAUCGCGUCCUCUAAAGCGCGAUUUGUGUCCACGUCAGCAAAACGCUCUGACGUGGACGCGAUUUCCUGGCACGUACCCUGACAUCGUGCUGAUGUGGAUGCAAUUUCGCCGUGUCUCCCACGUUAGGGUUUUUAGGGGUUUUAGGGCUUUUGGAGAAAAAAGUAAACAAAUAAGGGAUUAGGGUUAAGGGUUUCGUAAUUAAAUUAAUUAAAUUUUAUUCAAAAUUGGAUUACGUUUCGUGUUUAUGGGUUUUUAAGAUAAAAUCAAAGCAGGAUGAUUUAUCAGAAGGAUUUUUGAAGUCGCACCCACGUGUACGCGCUUUUGCUACAGUAGGUCUUGGGAAAAUAAUUUCGACUUGAUGUUUUUGAGCAAAUAGUUUAAAAAACAUUUCAAGCAGAAUGCUUUGUGAGAAGAAUUUGUGAAAUCGCGCCGUCGUGGACGCGCUUUUACUACAGUUGGUCCUAAAAGAAAUAAUUUCGAGUUGAUGUUUUUGAGCAAAUAGUUUAAAAAACGCUUCAAACAGGAUGCUUUAUAAUAAGAAUUUGUGAAGUCGUGCCCACGUGGAUGCGCUUUUGCUACAGUAGGUCCUAAAAAAAUAAUUUUGAGUUAACGUUUCUGAGCAAAUAAUAUAAAACAACGCUGCAAGUAGCAUGCUAUUUGAGAAGAAUUUGUGAAAUUGUGCCCUCGUGAACGUGCUUUUGCUACAGUUGGUCCUGGAAAAAUAAUUUUGACUUGACGUUUCUGAGCAAAUAGUAUAAAAUCGAUUCUAGAAGGAUGCUUUAUGAGAAGAAUUUGUGAAAUCACGCCCACGUGGACGCGCUUUUGCUACAGUAACAUGUUUGGGCUGAGGCUAUAAAUGAGGCAAAAAAUGUUCUGAGAUUGCAUAAGUCACAGCAAAAACAAUUUAGAGAGGCUAAGAAGGUUAGAGUUUCAAAUAUGAGUGAACGUAUUAGUGCUGUUAUUUACUACAGUGGUGAGGUUUGCCACACUGAGAAUGGUGUUGUUUUUUUGUCGAAGAAUACGGUGCGACUGGUUUUUAACCAAAACAUAGAUUUGACAGAACUUCGUAAAAGAAUUAGGCGUAAAAUUUUCGAAACGACGCCAAUGAAAGUUCUGUCUAUUACAUAUCGAUUUUGUUCCUCUGUUGAUCCGGUGACAUAUGACUCGUUCGACAUAAAAGGUGAUCGUAGCUUGGAGGCAAUUGUGCAGACUCAUCUUGCUAGUCGAGCACAUUAUAUUGAGUUAUAUGUACAAUUUACAUUGCCAAAUGAUGUACUUGCGACCAGUGUUCGAGAUGUAUACACGACCCCUGGCCAACAUUCGGUUAGCGGGUUAGAAAACACGAAACAGCCCAUGUUUGGUAGUGGUGUUGAAUGCACAUCCCCCGCAGGACCUCUGUCGGUGGAUGGGACAUGUACGUCGGUGGUUCGAUGUUUGAUGCUGGAAAUACGUACUGGGGAACGUCAUCAAGUUCUAGUGAUUAACAAUCUACAUCCAAUUGGGGACGUUAUGAAAUGCCCAGAAAAAAGGAUGAUGUACUCCCUACGACGUCAAUUGGUGAGGGGACCUCAUACGCUGCAGAUGAUUAUGGGUUAGAAGAUGACUCCGAUGUGGAUCUACCUCGAGAGCUCGGGCCUGAUGGUGUAGAAGUUGGCUUAUUUUCUGAACCGGAGUCUAUUCCAACAAAACUUGAAGAUGCUGAAAGGAGUUCAGAUGAAGAAGAAAAUCCACGAUUCAGAGCAUACUCACCUUCAGCCCACAUGCAUAAUGUCGAUCUGUCUGCAGAUGAUACAUUAGAGUUUCCAGAUCUACCACACUGGUUGCGUGAUCGUACCAGUUCAGGGCUAGAUUCAGGUGAAUUUUAAGUUGGUAAUCAGUUUACCAACAAGGAUAGUUUUAUUGGUGUUUUGAAACAACAUAGCAUCAAAAAAUGCGUUAACUACCACGUCGUUAAAUCCAAAUCUGAUAAGUUUGAAGCGAAAUGUACGGUGCAAUAUGGCACAUGUUCAUGGAAAAUCUACGCUUCGUUAAGGAAAAAGACAGGGUUGUGGGAGAUUAAAAAGUACAAAGGUCCACAUACAUGUGCUGCAGGUACAAUAUUGACGGUAUCUGAAUAAUACUUUUAUUAUGUAAUGUUGCAUUAUUUAAUGUAAUCCGUUUAUAGGUGUUUCACAAAAUCAUCCGAAGAUGGAUUCAGCUAUGUUAGCUAGCUUGAUACUGCCCACGGUAAAAGCAGAUUCCAGGAUUUUAGUACCGGUGUUAAUUGCCAAUAUUCGUAGCCAAAUGGGGUACACGCCCUCUUACCGUAAGGCUUGGAUAGCUAAGAAAAAGGCGUUGAAGAAGAUGCAUAGUUGGUGAGACGCCUCAUAUACUGAAAUAUGACAGUGGUGUCAAGUGCUAGAGAGAUACGUCCAAGGUGCCUCACAGACCUUGAAACGGAACAUGCGUACUACAACGGCCAAUUGCUACGUGGAUGCCAAGUGUUCAAACGUCUGUUUUGGACCUUUAAGUAAUGCCAAGACGCAUUUCCAAGCUGCAAGACAUUGGUACAAAUUGACAGUACCUUUAUGUUUGGUAGGUAUACUCAUCGGCUAUUGCUUGCAGUGGUACAGGAUAGCGGUGGGAGAAUUCUUCCAAUUGCAUUUGCAAUAACACCGGGGGAGUCGUCUGAUGACUAGGAUUUCUUUCUCUCUAGGUUAAGGAGGCAUGUGUGCCUCCAACCUGAUAUCUGUGUUAUUUCAGAUCGGGGCACCGGUAUACUAGUUGCAUUUGAUCGACAGGGAAGCUUAUGGCAGUGCACACACCAUCGAUAUUGCGUAAGACACGUUGCUUCCAACUACUACAGGCAAUACCCAUCUAAGAGCGAACGACGACAAGUGACCAACAUGGGUAUUUAGUCUAUAUCUGUGUUAUUUCGUUUCUCAAUUUGAAUUAGUUUUAUUAGUAGAAGUUGUAUGUAAUAUUCGCUAUGAACUUAUAUUGGCAGGGUAUGAAAUAAAUAAAUAUCGUUUCCACGAGAUGUUGGCAACUUUACGUUCAAUUAACGGAGAAGGGGCAGACUACCUUUGUAACAUACGUUUCGAACAGUAGGCACAAGCAUACGACGGCGGCCUACGAUAUGGCCAUAUGACGUCAAACCUGGCUGAAUGCAUAAAUUCUAUUCUUAAAGGAACAUAUUUUCGUUCAGCGACGCUAUUUCCAAAGCGAGCAGCAAGUUAUGCAGGCCAGAUGCAGGGAGGACAUGUAUGGUGCAGUAAGGUAGUUUAAGAAAUUAACAAGGCCAAGGCGCAGGCAAACACCAUGCACACAGUGUGUCACGAUCGAGACAACUUAUGGUUUCACGUGACAGAGUUUGACAGACCGCACCAAGGUGUUGUUGGCGGACAAUAUCGUGUACACUUGCGAAAUAGGACUUACAACUGUGGGAUGUUUGAUGCACUUCGUUAUCCAUGCGCUCAUGUUAUUGCAGCUUGUCAGAAUCUCCGUCUAGAUCCGAUAAAUUGUGUGGACGAAGUGUACAAAUUAGAAAACAUGUACAACGUCUGGAGACUCGUUUUUCCACUGGUCCCAGAUGAACGUAAGUGGCCCCCCGUAUCUCUUUCUCAUUUUAAGCUGUUACCGGAUAGAGAAUUACGUCGUAAACCAGAGGGUCGACCUUGCUCGACUAGAAUACAUAACAAUAUGGAUAUCCGAGAAACAGUCAAUCAACAUAAGUUGUGCAGAUGGUGUAGGAAUCCAGGCCAUACAAGUCGAUCAUGCCCUAAUCGCAAUAGUUGAAUGUAAUUUUUUUAAAAAAAAUUAUAUUUUUUCAAUUAUUAACUGAUAAUUGUAUUAAUUGUUAGUAAAAUUAUCAAAUUAUAUCAAAUAAUUAAUUGUUAGUAUCAGUCAAAACAUUUUUUCAAAUCUAACAUUAUGUGAAUAUAAAAUUAUUAACUGAUAAUUGUAUUAAUAUUAGUAAAAUUAUCAAAUUAUAUUUAAGUUAAGGGUUAGGGUUUUUAAGUUAAGGGUUAAGGGUUAAGGAUUUUAAAGUUAAGGGUCUAGGGUUUUAAAGUUAAGGGUUUAGGGUUUUUAGGUUAAGGGUUAGGGUUUUUAGGUUUAGGGUUUAUGGUUUUUAAUUUAAGGGUUAUGGUUUUUAAGUUAAAGGUCUAGGGUUUUAAAGUUAAGGGUCUAUGGUUUUAAAGUUAAGGGUUAGGGUUUUUAGGUUAAGGGUUUAGGGUUUUUAAGUUAAGGGUUAGGGUUUUUAAGUUAAGGGUUUAUGGUUUUAAAGUUAAGGGUCUAUGGUUUUAAAGUUAAGGUUUAAGGUUUUUAGGUUAAGGGUUAUGGUUUUUAGGUUAAGGUUUAGGGUUUUUAAUUUAAGGGUUAGGGUUUUUAAGUUAAAGUUUAGGGUUUUCAGGUUAAGGGUUAGGGUUUUUAGGUUAAGGUUUAGGGUUUAGGGUUUUUAAUUUAAUGAUUAUGAUUUUUAAGUUAAGCGUUUAGGGUUUUUAAGUUAAGGGUCUAAGGUUUUAAAGUUAAGGUUUAGGGUUUUCAGGUUAAGGGUUAGGGUUUUUAGGUUAAAUGUUUAGGGUUUUAAUUUAAGGGUUAAGGUUUUUAAGUUAAGGGUUUAGGGUUUUUAAGUUAAGGGUCUAUGGUUUUAAAGUUAAGGUUUAUGGUUUUUAGGUUAAGGGUUAGGGUUUUUAGGUUAAGGGUUUAAGGUUUUUAAGUUAAGGGUUUAGGGUUUAAAAGUUAAGGUUUAGGGUUUUUGGGUUAAGAGUUAGGGUUUUAGGUUAAGGGUUUAGGGUUUUUAAUUUAAGGGUUAGGGUUUUUAAGUUAAGGGUUUAUGGUUUCUAAGUUAAGGGUCUAUGGUUUAAAAGUUAAAGUUUAGGGUUUUUAGGUUAAGGGUUAGGGUUUUAUGUUAAAGAUUUAGGGUUUUAAAUUUAAGGAUUAGUGUUUUUAAGUUAAGGGUUUAGGGUUUUAAGUUAAGGGUCUAAGGUUUUAAACUUAAGGGUUAUGGUUUUUAGGUUUAGGGGUUAUGGUUUUUAAUUUAAGGGUUUAUGGUUUUUAAUUUAAGGGUUUAGGGUUUUUAAUUUAAAAGUUUAGGGUUUUUUAAGUUAAGGGUUUAAGGUUUUAAGGUUAAGGGUUAAGGUUUUUAGGUUAAGGGGUUAGGGUUUUAAAGUUAAUGGUUAGGGUUUUUAGGUUAAUGGUUUAGGGUUUUAAAGUUAAAGGUUAAUGAGUUAGGGUUUUUUGGUUAAGGGUUUAAGGUUUGUUAAUUAAAUUAUGCAUUUAAUUAUAAAUUAUAAAUUUAUAAAUUUUUAAUAAGUUAAGCGUUUAGGGUUUUUAAGUAGUAACUCAAAAAAAUUUCUAUUUUUAUUACAUCAAAAAAUAUCAAAAUAUUCAAAAUAUUUGUACAAAUAAAUUUAAAUACAAAAAUCAAUGUCUAUGCCCGCGGGAUUCAGUGCCACAUGGCAGCCGUCGACAGUUACGCGCUGGAUUCCUCCUUGUCCAGCUUUUGGCGGCGAUUAUAGUUCUUCCGGCGGCGGUUGUGGUUCUUCCGGCGGGGAUUCUGGUUCUUCCAGUAGGGCAUCUGGUUGUCGGAGUUGUGACGAUGAGCCACCUUGAUAGAAUUGUGAAUGUGGAGGUGUUUGCAUCACCAACGGCAACGGUGUUUGAAACCCAUACGGUGGUGGGGAUUGGUAAAAAGAAGAGCUCCCCGACGGCCCCUCUUGCGAUCCCUCGUGCGUCGCUGGCCUAUACAUCGGCGGUCGACUCGGCGUAACAGAAAUAGAGCUGAACCGGGCCAUUGGCUCCAACCUGCCAUAGGACUCGAAAAAGGAAACAUAUAAGGGUUAGGAUACAUAAAAGGGCUAGGAAACGCACCUGGCAUCAUCUGAAAAGGCGGUUGCGUGGGUAUCAUUGGUUGAACUGCUGGGUCGGGUGAAUGUCUGGGAGUCGUUGAAGGGCCAGCGUCGUCGUCCUGUCGUCUUGGAUUUAAAGGAUCGCGUCUUUCCCUUUGGACACGUAAUUGCCGCUGCCUCUCCUCUAGCGAUAGUAAAUACGGCUUGCCAUGGAUCCUAAACCAUGGCAUGCAUUCCGGCAUGCACGCUAACUCCGGAACGAUGAUCGGUUCCAUACUAGGUAUAUAGUCAUACCGAUCUUCCCACAUUUGGAUGUACUUGAACCAGAAUCUCGGCCAAUCCGUAUUCAAUUACCGAAGGUCGAUUUUGUGGUGAUCGUCAAACAUCUCAAGUUCCAUGGAAAUCGGUUGUCUACAUCCAAAUUGCCAUAACACCCUGUCUGACUGGUGCAUCUCCACGGUCGCGUAGUUGAUCAACGCGACUUUCGCCUGCCAAGCGUUUGGAUUUUGUAAGAACUCUUUCGGAAUUACUGCCCAAAUUGCCGGAUCCUCAUAUGGUGUCCAUUGAAACUAUAUGAAAAUGAUAGAAAUAUUAAUUAUAUACAUAAUACUAAAUACUAAAUACCAAUCGACUAGCGAAUGAUGGAAAUAUCAAUUUUAUUUAAUACUUACAUGUGCUUCCGACUAUUGGUCUAAUAGAAGCCGUAUAUCUUCAAGAGAGGUAGGUAAUCGAGCAUGACUUGCCGGAUGGUUCCACCUAAUUAAAUAAAUUUUUAGCAUACUUUUAUUUUUAAAAAUCUACAUAAUAAUUGUAAAAUCUAAUAUAAAAUUUACCUCGUUAUCAGUGGGAAUGUAUAUGGGUGGUCCACUCGAGGAUGUAGAAAUGAAAAGCGAAACCGUGCCCAUGAUUGCAGUAGGGACAGGCAACCUCCGAUUUUUGCUUUCCUCGGUCGCAUCGCCCCGUACAUCUCCUUAUAUAACGUUGUCAAGACGGCAGACCCCCAACUUAAUUCACCAGCUGCUCUAAAAUCAACGAGUUGCAGCAGCCAUCUUAGAUGUACGCGGCUCCGUGACAAGUCAGGCAUCAGAUAACCUCCAAUUAACUGAAGAAUGCAUGCCCGAGCAUAUCGGAUUCUUUCUAUUUCGGUUGAAUCUUCAUCCGGAUCCGGGAAUGUGUCUCGAAACCAGCCCAUCUCGAUCUUACCUCCCUCCAUUUUCUCCAGAAUAGCGCCCAAAAGCUCGUAGCACACCGCAAGCCAAUCGCUAGAUUGGGUAGACCCGGUGACUGGGUACCCGUCCACCGGCAAUCCCAAUUGUAGACUGACAUCUUCCAAAGUGAUAGUGCACUCUCUACAUCUUAAAUAAUAUUUAAAAAUUAAAUUUAACGCUUACCAUUUUCAUUUGUUCCACCGAUAUGUGAUGCUUAUCAAGACGAGUCAAUUCUUCGGCCAUUGCUGAAAUCGUACAAAUUUUUAAUGUUUAAAAAAAUUUUAAAAAAGUAAAAUUAUUUAAAAAAAGAGAUUUAAAAGAAAUUUAAGAGGAACUUGGGAGUAAAUUGAAAAUAAAUAUGAAUUUGAGAGAAAUUUUAAAGGAAUUUGAAAGCAAAAGAGUGGGGGUAUUUAUAGUUUUUUUUUUACCGUUCGGGGGGGCAAUGGUCAAUUUUUUGACCGUUGCACUGUUCACGUACGGGGCAAAUCGCAACCACGUCAGCGCGAUUUGCUGACGUGGACACAAAUCGCAUCCUCUGAAGCAGAAUUUGUUGCCACGUCAACGCGCUAUUUGCUGGCACAUACCCUGACAUCGCGCUGACGUGGACGCAAUUUCGAGAAAAAAUGGCCAUUUCGGUAAAUAAUAAAAUACCGGGCCCAUUUCGAUAAAUUUAAAAAAAAAUAGACUUUUUUUAGUAAAUUGCCCUACGUUUUAGUCUUGUUACAAUAUCCAAGUCUAAUGCCAAUAUUGAAGUAUACCGUAAUAGUAAUUAUUCUCUCUAUCUAGUACUCGAAACUGGUUUUAAAUAUCUUCCAUUCACUCGACAAAUAGUUAUGGUCUAAAUAAAUUUCUGGAAUUCAUGGCUGCCUACUUGCGAGAGGAUUAAUGAAAUAUGCGAUGCAAGUUGAUGAAAUCUUAUUAUUUGUAAUAUAAAAAACAAAACCCAUGCAUCCUUAAUAACAUAAAAAAAACACAUUCCAUAAUCAACAUCUGAGAAUUUAAAACUUAAUUGUAAUGUUGGCUGAACAAGACUCAAAAAGGGGAGAAAAGAAAAAUAAGUCCGAACCUGAAAAAAGUGACCGUAUAAAAAACCCUGACAGGCAGAACAGUAGCAAGCAACAUAAAACCAAGACAUAUUAUCACUUAAAGCACUUGGCAUCCAAGAGAGGCUCUCCCUCAAAUGGCUCGCAGUCUUCAAUCAUCUGAUUCACCCGUUCCUUCUGGGCUGCAUCUGACAGGUCAACCUUCUUCCACUCGUAGAGUUCCAUGUCAUAGCACUCGUCAAUCACAAAUUGAGGAAUCUCUUGCCCACGGAAAAGCCAUAGUCCUUUCACCUUGAAUGGAGGGUUAGCACCGAUCACCAACAUCUUCCCAAAUGCAUACUUGCGGGCCAAAUCCAUUCUCUGCAGGAAUCCUCCAACCUUGUUCAUUGUGACAAAUGAAACUGUAUUCUCCUCAUUGUACUUGUAGUCACAAAACCACAGUGAGUAUCCCUCGGGAUCAUACAUGUCCCAGAAUCCUGACACGAAUCAAGUAUCAGAUAUCACAAGCCCAAACAUUGCUUUUAAAAGGGAGUGCUACUGUGAAAACAACAGGGAUACCUUUAAUUGCAACCUCUCGGAAAUUGGUCUUUGUGUUAGAGUAAAGCCUCUUCCAGUCAUCCAGUACCAUCUUACUUGGAGGCAGCAAAUCAAGAGGAUUCUUUGGUUUGGGCUUUGGUGCCUCCUCCUCAGCUGCCUCUGCCUUUGCUGCCUGUUUCUCAACCUCCUUUUUGGCUUCUUUCUUUGGUUCAGCCUUUGGUUUAGUUUCUUUUGGCUGGGCAGCAGGCUUCUUUGAAGGAACAGGUGGUAGAGAGACUGCCUGCUUCACUUCACCAAGAAUCUUCUUGAUUUUUGGUUGAUUAACCAAGGUCCAAAAGUACCUCUCAACAUGAGGGAACUCCGAGGUAAAACUCUUAGUCAUGAUCUGGGAGAAACCCAAGUAGAGGUUACAUGUCAUGAUAAUGUCAGCAAGGGUGACAAAAUGUCCAACAAGAAAUGUGUUGGAAGCAAGAUGAGUGUUCAAAGCGCCAAGGGCUCUCUUCAAUGCAGCAAUAGCAGCUUCCUCAGCCUACAUGCAAAAUACAUAUAAGAGAUUAAAAUGAAAUAGGUAGGCAAAAUCAUACCAUUGAAUUAAAAUGAACUACUACUGAAUUACAAAAAUAAAAUUUAACUCUUAAUAUAGAUUAAUAAAUACAUCAGAAUGGGGGAGAAAACAACCUAGUCUCUUAAAAAAAUAAUGAGGAGAAAACCCAUGCCUACUUGAUUAUCAAUGCAAUGGGCAUUCCCUUCAACCAAAAUUACUUAAUAGUGCUUGAGUUGAUUCCUUUCCAGAAACUAUGCAGGGGAAAACACUACCACAUUAAGCAUGUACUAAAUGUUGUCUAACUAAUCCUCUCUAAAAUAAAUAAAACAAGAAUCAUAGACAGGUAAUCAAUGCCAAUUUUCC